rnacentral:lncRNA from 1 species
UCAAGUGAUCCUCCAGCCUCAGCCUUCCAAUGUGAUGGGAUUAUAGGUAUGAGCCACUGCACCCUGCCAGGAAAGUUGUUGAAAAAGACUAGCAUGUUGGUGUGUGUUGGCAGCUCCUCAGAUCUUUCAGUAUGGGAUAUAAAGGGGUUGUAAUUGAUUGGUUGGAAAUAAUCAGUGUGCAAACAACAAUGGAAAUGGAAGAGAAUACAUCUUGGUAAUAAAAUCUCUGUCUGUCCAUGGCCUAUAAUAUAAAUUGCAUAAAUUUCUAGUAAUUUGAUAUCUUGCAAUGUUGUAAAAAUCAACUACUUUUAUACUCCAAAUAAUAGGGAAACAAUGAUCAUCUAGAGCCCUUGUCAAGGGUCUCCUAUUGAGAGUCCUUAGACAGUGUGACACAUCUCUAUGGCAAAGAUCAGAUAUAAUAUGUUACAUUUACACAAGUAACAGACUUCUGGCUCUCCUCCAACUCAGGUAUACUCUUCUGCCGAGAGACUGUACUUCUCAGCCUCCCUUGUGGCUAGGUGUGCCAUGUGACUAAGUGCUCAUGAUUGAGAUCUUCUAGGGACUGCUUGAAUUCCUUGACUCACAGUGCCUCACACCAACCUCUGGUUCUAUUGAAACUUUGUCCGGCCUCCUCCCAACCUGCCGUCUCAACCUCUAGUUUCCCUCUUAUAAGGACCUUUGUAAUUGUGAUUACAUCACACUCACCUGGAUAAUUCAGGAAAAUCUCAUCAUCUCAAGAUCCUUAACACAAUAAAAUCUGCAAAUUCCCUUUUACCAUGCAAGUUUGAGCUGAGCUUUUGCUUGCCAUCCACCACUGCUGUUUGCCGCCGUCCCAGAUCUGCCAUUGACUUCCACCCCUCCAGAUCCGGCAGUGUGUCCGCUGCACUCCUGAUCCAGCGAGGCACCCAUUGCUGCUCCUGAUCAGGCUAAAGGCUCGUCAUUGUUGCUGAACAGCUAAGUGUCCAGGGUCAUCCUAAUUGAGCUGAACACUGGUCGCUGGGUUCCAUGGUUCUCUUCCAUGACCUAUGGCUUCUAAUAGAGCUAUAACAC